GUGGGGAAUAUUGCACAAUGGGCGAAAGCCUGAUGCAGCGACGCCACGUGAGGGAUGACGGCCUUCGGGUUGUAAACCUCUUUCAGCAGGGAAGAAGCGUAAGUGACGGUACCUGCAGAAGAAGCGCCGGCUAACUACGUGCCAGCAGCCGCGGUAAUACGUAGGGCGCAAGCGUUGUCCGGAAUUAUUGGGCGUAAAGAGCUCGUAGGCGGUCUGUCGCGUCUGGUGUGAAAUCCCAUGGCUCAACUGUGGGCUUGCAUCGGGUACGGGCAGACUAGAGUGCUGUAGGGGAGACUGGAAUUCCUGGUGUAGCGGUGGAAUGCGCAGAUAUCAGGAGGAACACCGAUGGCGAAGGCAGGUCUCUGGGCAGUUACUGACGCUGAGGAGCGAAAGCAUGGGGAGCGAACAGGAUUAGAAACCCGUGUAGUCC
rnacentral:rRNA from 1 species